rnacentral:misc_RNA from 1 species
GAUGAAGAACGCAGCGAAAUGCGAUACGUAAUGUGAAUUGCAGAAUUCAGUGAAUCAUCGAAUCUUUGAACGCAUAUUGCGCUCUCUGGUAUUCCGGAGAGCAUGCUUGUUUGAGUAUCAGUAAACACCUCAACUUCCAUAUCUUUUUUGAAAUGGGAGUUGGACUUGAGUGAUCCCAACGCUUUUCCUCACCGAAAAGUGGCGGGUUACUUGAAAUGCAGGUGCAGCUGGACUUUUCUCUGAGCUAUAAGCAUAUCUAUUUAGUCUGCCUAAAAAACAGAUUAUUACCUUUGCUGCAGCUAACAUAAAGGAGAUUAGUUCUUGUGCUGACUGAUGCAGGAUUCACAAAGACGGCUUCGGCCGACUUUGUAAACUCGAUCUCAAAUCAAGUAAUACUACCCGCUGAACUUAAGCAUAUCAAUAAGCGGAGGA